GAUGAAGAACGCAGCGAAAUGCGAUAAGUAAUGUGAAUUGCAGAAUUCAGUGAAUCAUCGAAUCUUUGAACGCACAUUGCGCCCGCCAGUAUUCUGGCGGGCAUGCCUGUUCGAGCGUCAUUUCAACCCUCAAGACCCCUUCGGGGGACUUGGUGUUGGGGACCGGCACAGGGGCCUGCCUGCUUGUCUUGCAGCGCCCUCGCCGCCCCCGAAAUGAAUUGGCGGCCUCGUCGCGGCCUCCCCUGCGUAGUAGCACAGCCUCGCAACGGGAACGUGACGGCGGCCACUGCCGUAAAACAACCCCAAUUUUAUUAGAGUUGACCUCGAAUCAGGUAGGAAUACCCGCUGAACUUAAGCAUAUCAAUAAGCGGAGGA
rnacentral:misc_RNA from 1 species